rnacentral:rRNA from 1 species
UACGUAGGCAGCGAGCGUUGUUCGAAAUUACUGGGCGUAAAGAGUGUGUAGGCGGUGCUCCCAGUCUGUUGUGAAAUCUCCCGGCUUAACUGGGAGGGUGCAGCGGAAACUAGAGUGCUAGAGGGUGGGAGAGGUAAGCGGAAUUCCUGGUGUAGCGGUGAAAUGCGUAGAUAUCAGGAGGAACACCAAUAGCGAAGGCAGCUCGCUGGGACGGUACUGACGCUAAGGCGCGAAAGCCAGGGGAGCGAACGGG